rnacentral:rRNA from 3 species
UACGAAGGGGGCUAGCGUUGUUCGGAUUUACUGGGCGUAAAGCGCACGUAGGCGGAUUGGUCAGUUAGGGGUGAAAUCCCAGGGCUUAACCCUGGAACUGCCUUUAAUACUGCCAGUCUUGAGUAUGGAAGAGGUGAGUGGAAUUGCGAGUGUAGAGGUGAAAUUCGUAGAUAUUCGCAGGAACACCAGUGGCGAAGGCGGCUCACUGGUCCAUUACUGACGCUGAGGUGCGAAAGCGUGGGGAGCAAACAGG